rnacentral:rRNA from 1 species
GAUGAACGCUAGCGGCAGGCUUAAUACAUGCAAGUCGAGGGGCAGCAGGACUGUAGCAAUACAUUUGCUGGCGACCGGCAAACGGGUGCGGAACACGUACGCAACUUACCCUGAACUGGGGGAUAGCCCGGGGAAACCCGGAUUAAUACCCCGAAAUAUACUGGAGUGGCAUCACUUUAUUAUUAAAGCUCCGGCGGUUCGGGAUGGGCGUGCGGCUGAUUAGGUAGUUGGUUGAGGUAACGGCCCACCAAGCCUACGAUCAGUAACUGGUGGGAGAGCACGACACGUUACACGGGAGCCACGACCCGGGCCCCACUCCUACGGGAGGCAGCAGUAAGGAAUAUUGGGCAAUGGAGGCAACUCUGACCCAGCCAUGCCGCGUGGAGGAUGAUUGCCCUCUGAGUUGUAAACUUCUUUUAUAGGGGACGAAACCUGUGUAUUCUUACGCAAUUGACGGUACCCUAAGAAUAAGCACCGGCUAACUCCGUG